AGUGAACGCUGGCGGUAGGCCUAACACAUGCAAGUCGAACGGCAGCACAGUAAGAGCUUGCUCUUACGGGUGGCGAGUGGCGGACGGGUGAGGAAUACAUCGGAAUCUACUUUUUCGUGGGGGAUAACGUAGGGAAACUUACGCUAAUACCGCAUACGACCUACGGGUGAAAGCAGGGGAUCUUCGGACCUUGCGCGAUUGAAUGAGCCGAUGUCGGAUUAGCUAGUUGGCGGGGUAAAGGCCCACCAAGGCGACGAUCCGUAGCUGGUCUGAGAGGAUGAUCAGCCACACUGGAACUGAGACACGGUCCAGACUCCUACGGGAGGCAGCAGUGGGGAAUAUUGGACAAUGGGCGAAAGCCUGAUCCAGCCAUACCGCGUGGGUGAAGAAGGCCUUCGGGUUGUAAAGCCCUUUUGUUGGGAAAGAAAAGCAGCAGGUUAACACCCCGCUGUUCUGACGGUACCCAAAGAAUAAGCACCGGCUAACUUCGUG
rnacentral:rRNA from 1 species